AAAAAAAAAAAAAAAAACCAUAAAAAAUAAAAAAAGAAAACAAAAUAAAAUUUAGUUACCACAAUUGAUCACUUUGGGGCAAGCAGGGAAGGGUUGUUUUAUUAUUUAUUUUGAGACAAGGCCUCGCUCUAUCGCCCAGGUUAGAGUGCAGUUGUGUGAUCAUGGUUCACUGCAGCCUCAACCUCCUGGGCUCAAGUGAUCGGUAGGGUUUUUCUUUAUGGCAGUUUUCUGGGGACUUCUUAUGGAACGCUCAAGUCUCAGAGUCUGAGCGAGGCAGGUCUCUGAACUUAGAGGAAACCGAUUGAUCCCAGGGUGGGCAUCUGACCCAAGGGCAGCCCAGCCGUAGGCUGACCAGUGACCAACGAGGUGAGGGGGUACCAUGGCCUCUGACCAAUAAGGUAGCAGUAAUUAGCUAAGGCUGGGAAUCUGCUUCCUCCAGGAUUGGGGAGGAACUGGCAAAUAGGUCCAGGAUAAAGAAACUCACGUUUGGAGGGUCAUAGGGGCUCUGAGAGAAACGGAGAGAACAGCUUCUGCUUCUGACCAGCGUUUCAUUCUGUUUGUCACUUCUUCACUCCUUCACUCAACCAGUACUCAUUGAAUACCUAGGAUAAGUCAGACCCUGUCCUUGGUUACUCUUGAAAUGCAAUGUAAUCUCUGUUCUCCCGGUGUUUCUAGUCUGAAGGAGAUGACGUUAAUAAAAUAAUCACAGAGAAAUGAAAAAUUUUUAAACUUUGAUGAAAUACGAAGAAAAGAUAUAGAAGACUAUGAGAGCCAAUAGGGACAUCUGACCUAGUCUGGGAGGGCUUUCCUGGCAAGGUGAAUUUUGAACUGAGAGGCGAAAAACCAGUAUGAGUUAAUCGGUUGGAGGGGGAAUUUAUAGGAGAAAGAUUCCAGUCAGAGGGACCAGCAUGUGCAAAGGUCCUGAGGCAGGAGGGAUGUUGGCAUGUUUAAGGGAUUGUCAGAAAGCCAAUGUGGCUGGAAUGGAAUAUAACUGGGGAUUCAGUGCUAUUUGCAUUUAUCCACAAACACUUUUCCUUAAAGUAGACUGAGGAGACUUCCUUGCAAACAAAAGCCCAAUGGACAGAAGUACCUAUUAUAUACCCCAGGUGUUCAGAGGGGUACAAGAUCAAUGAAAUAGCUUCAUUCGAGCUCUACCUUUUGCUAACUGUGUGACUUUGGGCAAGUUACUUAAUAUUUCUGAGGUUCAGUUUGUGCAUCUGUAAAAAUGAGAUAUAAAAACAUUUAUAGGCAGGCGCAGUGGCUCACGCCUGUAAUCCCAGCACUUUGGGAGGCUGAGGAGGGUGGAUCACAAGGUCAGGAGUUCAAGACCAGCCUGGCCAACAUGGUAAAACCUUGUCUCUACUAAAAAUACAAAAAUCAGCCGGGCAUGGUGGCACAUGCCUGUAAUCCCAGCUACUUGGGAGGCUGAGGCAGGAGAAUUGCUUGAACCCAGGAGGUGGAGGUUGCAGUGAGCUGAGAUGGGGCCACUGCGCUCCAGCCUGGGCGACAGGGCAAGACUCCCUCUAAAAAAAAAAAAAAAAAAAAAAAAAAAAAAAAAAAAAAAAAAAAAAUUAAUGAACAAUGCAAGAGAGACUAAGGGGUGGGCUGAGUAGGGUGUGGAUUGCUGGCACAGUAACACAGCCAUAACCACAGGCUGGCAAAUCUGAGGAGCUUGGGUACAAGGUUGUGCUGAACCACAGAUAGAAGAUGAAGCUAGAGCCUAGAAGAGGGGAGCUGGAGAAGGGGAUUGUGUGGGGCUAACGACAUUGGUCCAACUAAGGAGGUCGGCUCCAGGCAGGGACAGAAAGCCAGUGAACAGUCAUCAGUACUCAUGGACCCAUGAGGGUGGGGCCAUAUGGCUGUUUGGCUGUUUUCCCCUGAAUUCCAGGUUCUAGCAGGGGUUGUCAAGUGGAUGGAAGGGUGAUGGUUAUCUAAGCAUGGGAGUCCCCUCCAUCCCAUCCAGUGGUUAGGGGUCAGGAGGGCCUGCGCUGUAGCUUUGAGCAUCCGUCCAUCAGUGCCAACACUCUCCAUAGAAUGGUACUGGCAGCAGAAUACAAGGCUGAAAGUAUAGGGCAGUGCUAGUGAUUCUGAGGCAAGGAUCCAGGGCCCCAGCUAUGAGGUUUGGGCUCUGUACAGAAUCUAUUUCAGAAGUAAUACAGGACUUGGCAGACUCACUGAAAAGGUAAAGGAACCCAGUCUUAUGGAUGAACCCUUCAGAGUGAGUUGAACAAUAGUAACACUGAGGAUGCACAGGCUACUCUCUAUAUAUUUAUACCCUAUUUCAUUCCAUAAAUGCAGUGGAGUCUAUUUAAAGAGGGUGUAAAAGUUUUGCUGUUCUUUUUAAGAAUGAUGAGGAAAUGGAAGUAAAAGAAAAAUAAAGAUGGGAAAUUUUAAAGGAAACGGUGGAAUCAACACCCAAAAUUCAUGUUAAGUUCCUACAAAACUGCCAGAAGUGGGCUAAGAGUUUAGUUCUGAGCUGCCUGGUGGCCUUAGCAAGGAAGGGAAACAGAGCAGUCAUGAGCUUUAUGGUGUUCAGAAGAACAACCAGUAACUCAAAGAGAUAGAGCUGUUCAGAGUAUUGAAAUUGGUGAGGCACUUUCCUGAGGGCCUCACACAGUGAAGAUCCACAGUACCCAGGACUCCUGCCAGCACACUGGAUCCUGGUUAGAGACUGCUCACACAACUCCUGCCCCAUCUGGCCUAGCUCAUUAGCUAGGGUGGAUCUGAGGGGGCUUCCUACAGGUACAGCCGGGAAAGAGAGAACUAACAUCUUUCUUCUCCUGAACACAUCUCUAUGUGCGAUGAUGCUUGGAGACCGACAGAGGUGUUUCUCAAAACCUGGGGAUGAAGGAUCUAAACGCCAUCAGCUUGAAUUCCCCAUUUGGCACUGGAAGCCAGUGUAGAGUUGGUCUUGGCAAGAAUGGAGAUGUAAUCAAUGAAGAGACUAUUAAGUGGAGUGAGGGUUCUAGAGCCAUCUCCAGCUGUGGGGCUUCACUUGGCUUACCCUCCAGUGACUCACCCGCCGAUGAGCAAUCCUCAUAUGCCUGAUUUAGAGGACUUACUCACCCUUCAGAGAAAGACUUUAAUGCAAUAAAGCAAAUGUCAGCAAGUGGGCUGAGCUUAGCACAUCACCCCAGCCUGCAUCCAGCUUCCUACUCCCCGGCUCUCCCUACCCAAGGUUCCUUUAGCCACUCAGCACCUGCAUAGGCCCACACAAUGGGCAGGCUUCAGGGACACACUCCAAGGCUGGUCAGAGGCUCAGAGAUGGGACACCACGAGGGAUUAGGCACCAGCUAGAUAAGAGCCCUGGAGAAAUCUAGUCCACAGAGGUUGGAGAUUAGCUCCAAACCACUGGAGAGCUGGGGGAAGGGCAAGGGCUAGAACCCACAACUUCUCACCAUCUGGUCUAGUGCUCUUCACUGUGGAAGCUGUUUGGUUACACAGAUGAGGGGAGUGGGCUGAAAGAAAUUCAGCAUCCUAACCCUGGGUGACCUUCUCAUCUGUGGACUUUCCAAGGAACCUCUGAACACAGUUGGGGAAAGGAAAGACAGGUGGAGAGAAAGACCUCACGCAAAGCCUUUGAGGUGAGGAAUUUAGAGAGCUGGGCUGCCUGUGCUCUGCCACCAUCUUGCUAUUUGUUGACACAAUGCAUGUCGGGAGAACUGGACACCCUUUGGACCCUCCAGCAUUGAGAAGUAUGGCUGGAAUCCCUGUUAUUUAUCAGCUGACUGGGAUGGCAUAAACCCCAACCAGCUCCCUGUUCCCUCAGAUUAGGAACAGGACCCAGGAGUUAGGCUGGAGCCCAGGCAGAGCCAAUCAUGGGGAGAAGCUGACAACUGCCCCUUCCUUCCUCCACCUACGCAGAGGAAGUUACUCACAAAGCAAGUCGAUUCAGCCUUGGAUUUAAACCUACUCAUUGAGGGAUUUACGUUGGAACUCCUGGGGAAUUAUCUAGAAUUAGUUGCAAGAGUGGAAAGAGGGCGUCAGGCAGGCUGGCAGGGCAAACUUUCACCUCAUUCACUUCUCCAUCCCUUGGCCACUUACCCAGCCUUUUCUGAGUCUGCCAUAUGCCAGGCACUGGAGGGAGGUAGCUGGCCACAAGCUUGGCACUCAGGCUUACUGGAACCAAGGGCCUUAUGCUUUAAGGGACUCUUGGGAUCAUCUAACUCAGCUCACUCUUCACAGGUGAGGAAUCUGAGGUUCAAGUAGAGCUCUUUGCCUAGUGCGAUGGCAGUGAAGGGCCCUGAGUGGGCAGAUACUCUCACCACCUCCCUAUGAGGCCUGCACUAAGGAAUUCUCUUGCCGGUUAGCUUAGGGAAACCCCUCAGUUGGAAAGCAACAUUCUGUAUCGUCAUGCCUAUAGCUGCACCUCCACCACCAUCACCCUGUUGUUCAUUUACAAAUAAAUCCCAAUGAAGCAGGCUGGGUCCCCACCCAAGGGUAUUCCUACCUUAUCCCAAUUCACCAACAACAUGAAGAAGUGCUUUUCUCCUUUUACUAUUUUUAUUUUACACUAUAAAAAA
rnacentral:lncRNA from 10 species